rnacentral:rRNA from 1 species
CCUACGGGAGGCAGCAGUGGGGAAUAUUGGACAAUGGGCGAAAGCCUGAUCCAGCAAUGCCGCGUGAGUGAUGAAGGCCUUAGGGUCGUAAAGCUCUUUUACCCGGGAUGAUAAUGACAGUACCGGGAGAAUAAGCCCCGGCUAACUCCGUGCCAGCAGCCGCGGUAAUACGGAGGGGGCUAGCGUUGUUCGGAAUUACUGGGCGUAAAGCGUGCGUAGGCGGUUAUUCAAGUCAGAGGUGAAAGCCCGGGGCUCAACCCCGGAACGGCCUUUGAAACUAGGUAGCUAGAAUCUUGGAGAGGUCAGUGGAAUUCCGAGUGUAGAGGUGAAAUUCGUAGAUAUUCGGAAGAACACCAGUGGCGAAGGCGACUGACUGGACAAGUAUUGACGCUGAGGCACGAAAGCGUGGGGAGCAAACAGGAUUAGAUACCCUGGUAGUCCACGCCGUAAACGAUGAUAACUAGCUGUUCGGGUACUUGGUAUCUGAGUGGCGCAGCUAACGCAUUAAGUUAUCCGCCUGGGGAGUACGGUCGCAAGAUUAAAACUUAAAGGAAUUAGACGG